rnacentral:lncRNA from 1 species
UCUCUUUCUAACCUGCCCUUCUCGAAACUAGUCUGCGCUUAUUACAAAUUAUUACAUGACGGAUCCGUCUUUUCCGAUCUAUUUCUUAAUCAGCCUGUUAGUUAGUAUCUACUGGUAAUCUGGCGACCGUAACAGGCUAUGUAUUCCCACCCCUUGCUUUAAAACCUGCAAAUCUGGUACUUCAGACCUCUGAAAUCUCUGUAAAUCUGCUUCCUCUCAACCUAUCUUCUGCUAAACUAUAACCCUAUUGUACC